CAAUGUUUCUGUGGGAUGCAUAUUAAAAAGAAAAUAUAAAAGAAAAAUAAAAGAAAUGGGUCUAUACUAAUUAAAGAGAGAGAGAGAGAGAGAGAGAGAGAGAGAGAGAGAGAGAGAGAGAGAGAGAGAGAGAGUCAUCUAUAGUCUAUUUUAGAUCUGUCAGGCUUUGUACUUAGAAGAGCCGUCACUACAUAGGAUCAAGAAUCCAGUCUUCCAAAUCUAAAGUGAGGGACUAUCAAGAGAGGAAAAGAGGCCAUUUGCCAGGGACCUCUACUUUGCUGCAUUAAGAUGAUGGAAGGAAGAAGAAUGAUUGCUCAGCAUGAGUGAAUGAAUGCAUUUUAAGAUGAUGCCAACUUCACUUACAUAUAAAAUAUUUAUGCUUUAAUGCAUUAUUCUGUUGUGUUUAUGUUUUGACAAACUCUCAUCCAUUUGGCGGUCUGAACAGAUCAUUAACCAGACAGGCAGAUGGACAAAUAUCUGUGCCAUGUGAAUGCAAAAAGCAGAAAGGCUUUGAUCUUUAUAUACAAAUAAUAUUGUCCUUAUGGGGUUGUGAAAUCAAACAGAAAUUCACCCAGCAGCCACUUUCUAUAUGAUCUACACAGCUUUUCUCAUGAACAGCCUUCUACUUUGUUUCAAACACUCCCUUUCUUGUGUCUAUUGAUAUAUAUCCUUCUUUCUGUCAACCUUUUAGUCUUAUCACAACUGGAAUGCCCAUCUGCCAAGGGAUGGUUCAACCUUGACUCUCCCAAGGAAUGCUGUUCAAGCUGCCUGCUUGAAACCAUUGUAUGCUUGCUCCCAGAAUCCUCAGAGACAAACUAUGGCUGGCCAGGAACAGCUUUGUUGUUAUCUGUGCUGGACUCGAAGAGACCCCUUCCAAAAGAAAAUAAGAAAGAAAAAGACUCAGUAUGAAAGCGUGCAGAAAGGUAUUAGACAAGGAUGCUGUGAUGGAUGUGAUGGACAAUUUAAGACUCUGAAUUUAAUAUCUGUACAGAGAAUGUUCUUUGAGUAUUGAUACAUAUUAUUUGUUUGAAUAAAUAAAGGGGAUAAACAGUCCUACUGCAUUUGGGGCCCAUCAUCUUUCAAUCUGAGGCUGCAUUUACACUGUAGAAUUAAUGCAGUUUGACCCACUUUAACUACCAUGGCUCAAUGCUAUGGAAUCAUGGGAGUGGUAGUUUGGUGAAGCAACAACAUUCUUUAGCAGAGUAAGCUAAAGACUUAUAAACUACAAUUCCUGUGAUUCCCUAGCAUUGAGUCAUGCAGUCAAAGUGGUGUCAAACUGCAUCAAUUCUACAAUGUAACUUCAUCCUGGGUGAGUCUCUGGGUACAUCUGUGCUGACCACUUAAUGUGAUGUGAAACCAGCAGAGGAGGAAGCGAUUUGAAGGUGGAGCUGAUUA
rnacentral:lncRNA from 1 species